rnacentral:rRNA from 1 species
AUUGAACGCUGGCGGCAUGCCUUACACAUGCAAGUCGAACGGCAGCACGGGAGCAAUCCUGGUGGCGAGUGGCGAACGGGUGAGUAAUAUAUCGGAACGUGCCCAGUCGUGGGGGAUAACGUAGCGAAAGCUACGCUAAUACCGCAUACGAUCUAUGGAUGAAAGCGGGGGAUCGCAAGACCUCGCGCGAUUGGAGCGGCCGAUAUCAGAUUAGGUAGUUGGUGGGGUAAAGGCUCACCAAGCCGACGAUCUGUAGCUGGUCUGAGAGGACGACUAGCCACACUGGGACUGAGACACGGCCCAGACUCCUACGGGAGGCAGCAGUGGGGAAUUUUGGACAAUGGGCGCAAGCCUGAUCCAGCAAUGCCGCGUGCAGGAUGAAGGCCUUCGGGUUGUAAACUGCUUUUGUACGGAACGAAACGGCGAGCUCUAAUACAGUUUGCUAAUGACGGUACCGUAAGAAUAAGCACCGGCUAACUACGUGCCAGCAGCCGCGGUAA